CCAAUCCUCAAUUUCUGAUCCAACGCCUCGAGCCUCCCGAAGACGCGACCCAACCUCGAUACCCCCGCCAUCCACCCACCGGCAUUCACUCCGCCGCCACCCGCCGGCAUUCACUCCGCCCGCAGCACACCAUGGUCGAGGUCGCCGCCUCCUCCUCUCCCCAACGCAUUCCCCUCCAAUCUCCCCCCUCUCCCCCUCCCAUCCUCUCUAGUCUAGUCCCACAGCGAGGAAUAGCUAGUCGGUGGGGCGGCUCGCCGGCCACCUGCAGCAGACGUAGCCAGCCACCAGCCGCGGCCCUCGCGGAUGCAGGCGUCCACGUUGUAGCGCCGGUCGCCCAUCUUGGGCCCCGCAUCACCGCCGGCGAGCGCGUCCGAGUGCCCCGGGUGUCUGCAUCUCCCGCUGACCCUCCUCCUCCGCCCUUUUCUCCAUCUCGGAUGGAUUGCAGCAGCUGCAGGGGCAGCCUCCUCCGAUGGCAGAAGGGGAUGAGGGGGGCGACCUGGACAUCCUCGAGAUCGCCCAGCCCCAACUAGACGGAGGCGCCCUCCAUGACGCCGCCCCGCAAAAGGUCUGUUUCAUUGAUCGGACAUAUUCUUGAGCACCUAUGUGAGAGAGAUUGAACAGGAGACGCUGUGCAUCUUGCCGUGAAGUGGCGACCACAGUGGCGCUCUUGUUGGCGCCGAAGUCGGACAGUGACCAACUUCACCGCAACGCCAUGUGCACUCCUUCUCGGUCCUCCCUGCCCUCGGACCAAGAGCUGAGAGGCAUUUGGAGCAUUGCUGCCCUGACCUAGCUGACGAACCAAGGCUGCUAGCAGCUGCUACUACUGCAUGUCUUCGUUUAGUUUGUUCUGCCAUAGUGAGACAGAGAGAGGAGAUGUGUGCCUCACUGGAAGGUGACAACCAUGUACAACACAACUCUUGCCAACGAACAGUGACACCUCCACGCUAUGUUCCC